GUUUGGUUUUUAUUGACUAUGAUGAAAUUGAUUAGGCUUAUGGUGUUACUAUAAUAAUGAAUCUACAUAGUUUGCAAUGGAGACAUCUAGUGAUCAAAAGAGGAAGCUCUUGAUAUUUUUUACUAAUAGAAGUGGCUGGCUAUGGCGUCCCAUCGAAGCCCAGUACCAAGUUGUUCAGCAUUGCUCACUAACUGUUUUAAUACAGCAUCCUGAAAUCCAUUUGAAACAGAACAUAAGCAGACCACGACCGCGUUUCCGCUGCAAGCAGCUAUGUAUAUCGUAUGAACCUUUGCCAAACGGCGUUCGUUUAACCCUUUUGUUUCGUCAGAACUGCAAAGAUACCGCUGUGACGUCUAAGUAAAACGAUUUUUUGUAUUCUUCAUACGACAAACGUUACGAGACAUGCGUGCGCAUAUUUAUUCUGGCACACACGUGGCAACAGUGCUAUACAGGAAGCACGCGCAUUUCAUCUCCGCAGCUGUUUUUACAUCGGUGCACAUAUGUUUACGUUCCCGGCUAAGGACAAGUCGAGAAUAUGUUAUGAAGCGUUAAGUCGCGAGGGAAUGCUAGGAACCAAAAGGGGAGUGCCGUUUAAGUGGAAUGUCUCCUGUAUACAGGACGCGUCGUGGAAAAAAGUGAAUGUAGCGAAAUUCGUGAAACUAUGCAAAUAAAUACUUGGCAGUGAUUUGUUGCUCGAUUAGCACGUGAUAAGGCUGAUUGAACAGCUGUAUUGAAUUUUAUUUUUUUUUAAGGAAGACUUCAUAACCUUACUAUUUAAAUUUAAAAAUAGAAUUUUAAAAAUUAAAAGUCAUUUCGAUUAUAUUAUUGUAAAUCAUAAAAUAAUUAUUGUAUGUGUUAAUUUAUAUACGUGAUUUUUGUAGAUAGAAUUCAUGAACAAGAAAGAAUAGAUUUUUAUAAUUUGAAUAAUAUAAUAUAUUAACAAUUAUAUAACCAUAAACAAUAUUGUUCAUGCGGCAAAAAGGUGCAAACUAGUAAAAUUCACAUAGAGCGAUAUGUUUAAAUUUCAAAGAUGCGAUGGAGUUCCAUGACAAGCUGAAGUAUCCAAUCACAGUAUAUCUCUAUAUCUCUAGACGACGCGGCUUCCAUGAGAACUAGCUAGAUAUUUAAUCAAGUUUUGAUACCGAAUUCUUAAAUUAACAGAGCUUAUAAGAAUAUCAUUUUUAUGUAUAGAAUUAAGAAAAAAAUUAUAUUUAUAUUUAAAUAUAAAAUUUCGUAGAUUAAAAUUAUAUUUUUGCGUAUGUGUAAUAAUAAUUAUGUGAAAUAAAUAUAAUCUUUUUUUAAAGGUUGAUGGAAUUUCCUUAAAAAAGAUAUCUUCAGAAUGUAAGAAUGGAAUGUGUAAAUCGCAUUUUUGUGCAUCUUCCUUUUCACUUUCUAUUUUGUAUGUUUGACCAAAUGAAAGUCUGAAAAAGCAGAAGCAGAACGUGCGUGGAAUGCCAGAACAAUCAUCCGGUAUUUGACUGUGGCUUCAUUCAAAUUUAAAAGUGAAA